rnacentral:rRNA from 1 species
CCUACGGGAGGCAGCAGUGGGGAAUUUUGGACAAUGGGCGAAAGCCUGAUCCAGCCAUGCCGCGUGCAGGAUGAAGGCCUUCGGGUUGUAAACUGCUUUUGUACGGAACGAAAAGGUCUUUUCUAAUAAAGAAGGCUCAUGACGGUACCGUAAGAAUAAGCACCGGCUAACUACGUGCCAGCAGCCGCGGUAAUACGUAGGGUGCGAGCGUUAAUCGGAAUUACUGGGCGUAAAGCGUGCGCAGGCGGUUAUAUAAGACAGUUGUGAAAUCCCCGGGCUCAACCUGGGAACUGCAUCUGUGACUGUAUAGCUAGAGUACGGUAGAGGGGGAUGGAAUUCCGCGUGUAGCAGUGAAAUGCGUAGAUAUGCGGAGGAACACCGAUGGCGAAGGCAAUCCCCUGGACCUGUACUGACGCUCAUGCACGAAAGCGUGGGGAGCAAACAGGAUUAGAUACCCUGGUAGUCCACGCCCUAAACGAUGUCAACUGGUUGUUGGGUCUUCACUGACUCAGUAACGAAGCUAACGCGUGAAGUUGACCGCCUGGGGAGUACGGCCGCAAGGUUGAAACUCAAAUGAAAUUGACG